rnacentral:rRNA from 1 species
UACGGGGGGGGUAAGCGUUGUUCGGAAUUACUGGGCGUAAAGGGCUCGUAGGCGGCCAACUAAGUCGGACGUGAAAUCCCCAGGCUCAACCUGGGAACUGCGUCCGAUACUGGAUGGCUUGAAUCCGGGAGAGGGAUGCAGAAUUCCAGGUGUAGCGGUGAAAUGCGUAGAUAUCUGGAGGAAUACCGGUGGCGAAGGCGGCAUCCUGGACCGGCAUUGACGCUGAGGCGCGAAAGCCAGGGGAGCAAACGGG